rnacentral:rRNA from 1 species
UACGUAGGUGGCAAGCGUUGUCCGGAGUUAUUGGGCGUAAAGCGCGCGCAGGCGGUUGGAUAAGUCCAUGGUGAAAGCGCCUGGCUCAACUAGGCGAGUGCCGUGGGGACUGUUCAGCUGGAGUGGAGCAGAGGCGAGUGGAAUUCCGGGUGUAGUGGUGAAAUGCGUAGAGAUCCGGAGGAACACCAGAGGCGAAGGCGGCUCGCUGGGCUUUGACUGACGCUGAGGCGCGAAAGCGUGGGGAGCGAACCGGG